UGAGGACUUUACUACAGCGACGCCGCGAUGCCACAUCCUCCACACACACCGAGUGAGUCAGAGGACGGGCGGAGCUCCGAGGGGGCUUGAACGUAACACGGAGGCUGGGUUAAAGUUCUUCUGCGUUUGUGUUGUUCCACAAUUGGCCCUAUUCUGCCCUCUGGUGGACACCAGGUGAACUACAUGGAAGAGUGGUGAGAUGAUGCUGAAGGACCAGAGUGGAUGAGGACUUGUGUGACAGGCGUCCGUCCUGGCGGUGUCUGCGGCCUGCUCCAUCUGCAGGUGGUAGCCCUGCUCCCGCCCCCUCUGCUGCAGCUCCUGCAGCGUGGCCUGCAGCUGCUGACGCCCGUACCAGUGGUAGCUGU